UCCUUUAAGGUGGUUCGUCACGGUCAGCUAGGCACUAUUACGCUAAUAGAUGGCGUUGUUGUUAAAAUUUGACGUAUUUAAUUAAUUUAUGUAUGAUAAUGUAAAUAUUCUUAAAAAGUAAUAAGUUUCACGGUAAUAGUAUGCUGUUUCUUACGUGUUCAACUCAGUUUGAGAUGAGGUUUAGUGUAUAAAACAAGUUUAUUUGUAUAAAUUUAAAACGCAGCAGUGACAGCGAAGUAUUCACACACACACUCAAACGUUUUACCUAUGACCAAAAUAAAAUUCAUGAAAAGGAACGCAAACUUGUCAUGAUUGACAGAUGUCAAAGUCAGAAAGCCCAUGAAAUGCCGGAAUCAAGUUUCAACAAAAUAUGUUGUAUACGUGCGAAAUAUUUUUAAAAAAUUCACCACUGUGUACAGGACGGUAAGUUUUAUUUAAUAGUGAUGCUAUUGACAAAAUUUUAGUUGUAUUAAAUACACAUAAUGAUGUUUUUGUGAUUACGGCAGUAUUUGUGAUUUUUGGGACUUCGAAAGUUGUGGGAAAUAUUGUACUCCUGACCGCAUAUGGAUGGUUAUUUUCACUGUGUGAGCAAUAUACUUCAUGUAGUUAUUACACUUGCAGAUCAACGAAACUCUCGACUUCUUUAAGAGCAGUCAGGUGGAUACAUCUCUCAAUAUGUUCGUAAUCUCAGAGAGCGUCUAAAGCGAGCAAUCCGAUGAUAGCUUUAUGCUCGACGACAUUGGAAUGAUGAAGAUUGGAUCAAUGCGAAAUUAGCUCAAAUUCAAAAUACGGAUACAGAAGAUGACGUGACGUGACGUUUCGUGAGUGAGCCAUCCAUCAAUUUGUGUCAACAAGAACAGUCCCAAAGCAUCCAAGAAAGUACCAGUGUUUCUAUUACUGACUUGAUUAUAUAAAUCAUGCUAUUUAUUUAAUAAUUUCAAGUAAUACUAACUACAUUUAUAGCAAUUAAAAUAUAUGUCUGAGCUUAUAUUUUCAUUGUUAUGUAUAUAUAACUGGUGGGUAUUACCCGUGAGCCUGCCCCAGAGUCACCGAUGCCAAGCCCUGUUCCCAAGGUAUAACAGAAACUCUGCUUUGAAGCCUUAUGAUGAAAUGGGAUUCUUACUGUCAAGACCUGAUGAAGCAUUACAAGGAUCCCACAGAGAGCUUAAGUAUAUUAUGGGCAUUAAUAUAAUAAUGGAAGUGCCUAGCCCUGUUGCAGUGCAGUGUUCUACAAAAAUAAAACAAAUCAUAGAAACUAAA